CCUACGGGCGGCUGCAGUAGGGAAUAUUGGACAAUGGGCGAAAGCCUGAUCCAGCCAUGCCGCGUGAUAGAUGAAGGCCCUCUGGGUUGUAAAUAUCUUUUAUCUGGGAAGAAACAAUCUUAUUCUUAAGAUCUUGACGGUACCAGAGGAAUAAGCACCGGCUAACUCCGUGCCAGCAGCCGCGGUAAUACGGAGGGUGCAGGCGUUAUCGGGUUUCAAUGGGUUUAAAGGGGGCUGAGGCGGGCUUGUAGAAAGCUCCGAGCUUAACUUGGAAACUGCCAUUGAUACUGCCAGUCUUGAAUGUCGUAGAGGUAAGCGGAAUGUUGUAUGUAGCGGUGAAAUGCUUAGAUAUGUUACAGAACACCAAUUGCGAAGGCAGCUUACUAUGCGAUGAUUGACGCUGAGGCACGAAAGCGUGGGGAGCAAACAGGAUUAGAUACCCCAGUAGUC
rnacentral:rRNA from 1 species